GACGAACGCUGGCGGCGUGCUUAACACAUGCAAGUCGAGCGGUAAGGCCCUUUCGGGGGUACACGAGCGGCGAACGGGUGAGUAACACGUGGGUGACCUGCCCUCAGCUCUGGGAUAAGCCCGGGAAACUGGGUCUAAUACUGGAUAUUACUCUGCGGUGCAUGCCGUGGGGUGGAAAGCCUUGUGCGGCUGGGGAUGGGCCCGCGGCCUAUCAGCUUGUUGGUGGGGUGAUGGCCACCAAGGCGACGACGGGUAGCCGGCCUGAGAGGGCGACCGGCCACACUGGGACUGAGACACGGCCCAGACUCCUACGGGAGGCAGCAGUGGGGAAUCUUGCGCAAUGGGCGAAAGCCUGACGCGGCGACGCCGCGUGAGGGAUGACGGCCU
rnacentral:rRNA from 1 species